rnacentral:precursor_RNA from 1 species
UGAGUUUUAUAGGGGCAUAGUUCAGUAGGUAGAACAUCGGUCUUCAAAACCGAGUGUCACGAGUUCGAGUCUUGUUGCCCCUGCCAUUUUGAAAGCAAAUCACACUUUGUGUGAUUUUUU